GACGGAGAGUGCGAACGUUGUUCGGAUUUACUGGGCGUAGAGGGCACGUAGGCGGCCAGGCAAAUCAGUUGUGGAAUCCCGACGCCUACCGUCGGAACGGCAAUUGAAAAUACCUGGCUCGAGGGCAUGAGGGGUCGCAGGAACUCCUGGUGGAGCGGUGAAAUGCGUAGAUAUCAGGAGGAACGCCGGAGGCGAAAGCGUGCGACUGGCGUGUCCCUGACGCUGAGGUGCGAAAGCCGGGGGAGCAAACAGGAUUAGAUACCGGGUAGUCC
rnacentral:rRNA from 1 species